rnacentral:rRNA from 1 species
CCUACGGGCGGCAGCAGUGAGGAAUAUUGGUCAAUGGACGCAAGUCUGAACCAGCCAUGCCGCGUGCAGGAAGACGGCUCUAUGAGUUGUAAACUGCUUUUGUACGAGGGUAAACGCAGAUACGCGUAUCUGUCUGAAAGUACCGUACGAAUAAGGAUCGGCUAACUCCGUGCCAGCAGCCGCGGUAAUACGGAGGAUUCAAGCGUUAUCCGGAUUUAUUGGGUUUAAAGGGUGCGUAGGCGGUCGGAUAAGUUAGAGGUGAAAUCCCGAGGCUCAACUUCGGAAUUGCCUCUGAUACUGUGCGGCUAGAGAGUAGUAGCGGUAGGCGGAAUGUAUGGUGUAGCGGUGAAAUGCUUAGAGAUCAUACAGAACACCGAUUGCGAAGGCAGCUUACCAAGCUACUUCUGACGUUGAGGCACGAAAGCGUGGGGAGCAAACAGGAUUAGAUACCCGUGUAGUC